CAGGAAUACAUGUUUGUGUUCCUGACCCUAUAGUGUUACUUUAAAGGAUCACUAUAGGGUCAGGAACACAAACAUGUAUUCCUG